rnacentral:tRNA from 1 species
GCCUGGGUGGCUCAGUUGGUUGAGCAUCUGACUUCAGCUCAGGUCAUGAUCUCACAGUUUGUGAGUUCGAGCCCCGCGUCAGGCU